ACACUCCUAACAGCUAGCCCCUCUCCCAAAAACAACAAACACCAUUAAUAACCCCUUAGGAACCACACCCCAAGCAACAAACCAUUUUUCCUCCUUAGUAUGG
rnacentral:rRNA from 1 species